rnacentral:rRNA from 1 species
AACGGGGAAUCAGGGUUCGAUUCCGGAGAGGGAGCCCGAGAAACGGCUACCACUUCCAAGGAAGGCAGCAGGCGCGCAACUUACCCUAAUCUCGAUUCGAGGAGGUAGUGACAAGAAAUACCGAUGCGGGACCCUACGGGUGCCGCGUUCGGAAUGAGUACGAUUCGAACCACCUAACGAGGAACGAUCGGAGGGCAAGUCUGGUGCCAGCAGCCGCGGUAAUUCCAGCUCCAAUAGCGUACGUUAAAGUUGCUGCAGUUAAAAAGCUCGUAGUUGAACGUUCGGGUUCCGCGGGACGGGGCCGCCCCGCGAGGGACGGCGCCGCCCCGGGGCUCGUGAUAUCUCAUCUCGCCGCCCGUCGCGAGGCGGACGGAGGGAUGGAUGAGGUUACCUGGAAAAAAUCGGGGCG